rnacentral:rRNA from 1 species
AUUGAACGCUGGCGGAAUGCUUUACACAUGCAAGUCGAACGGCAGCACGGGGGCAACCCUGGUGGCGAGUGGCGAACGGGUGAGUAAUACAUCGGAACGUGCCCGGUCGUGGGGGAUAACGUAGCGAAAGUUACGCUAAUACCGCAUACGAUCUGAGGAUGAAAGCGGGGGACCUUCGGGCCUCGCGCGAUCAGAGCGGCCGAUGUCAGAUUAGGUAGUUGGUGGGGUAAAGGCCUACCAAGCCGACGAUCUGUAGCUGGUCUGAGAGGACGACCAGCCACACUGGGACUGAGACACGGCCCAGACUCCUACGGGAGGCAGCAGUGGGGAAUUUUGGACAAUGGGCGCAAGCCUGAUCCAGCCAUUCCGCGUGCAGGACGAAGGCCUUCGGGUUGUAAACUGCUUUUGUAUGGAACGAAAAGGCUCUGGCUAAUACCUGGGGCUCAUGACGGUACCGUAAGAAUAAGCACCGGCUAACUACGUG